rnacentral:rRNA from 1 species
AGCUAGACCACUGGGUAGAUAGGCCGGAUGUGGAAGGCAGGACUAACGACUGCCGCAGCUGACCGGUACUAAUAAGCCGACAACUUGACUAA